AUGGUUCUGCUGGGGCCACUGCUUUUGGCAGUGGUCUCUGUAAUCUGGGCUGAGGAGGAUUACUUUAUUAAUGGAACGCUCAAUUACACAUGGGACAACGCCAGGAACUAUUGCCAGAUCUGCUACAAAGACCUGACAACAAUGACCCCAGGAAAUGCCCAUAUCAUUAUUCAGAAAGUCAUCGCUCUGAAUCUCACCUCUGGCUACUGGAUUGGGCUUCGUGAAAACUUCAGCGGACCCAUUCCAUUUUCUCAGUGGUCUAAUGGUGCCCCAGUUAUCUACCAGAACUGGUAUCCUGGUCGCCCUAUCCUAAAGAAACCAGAAGUGUUUGUGCCAACAUCUCCACCCCCAACUACUAGUACUGAUGGUACUACUACUUCCUAUGAUAGUACUACCACUGCUGGCACUACUACUCAUUCUACAACUGCUGGCACUACUACUCAUUCUACUACUGCUGGCACUACUAGUACUUCUGGUACUACUCAUACUUCAAGCACACCCAUUGACGAGCAAAUACUUUGUCCAACUUUGGCGAAACUCAUUGCUUGUUUUAAUGAUACAGAGUACAUUGUCACUCCCAUCACAGAUAAUGAAUUUAGCACUAGUAAAUCGAGCACACUCAUUAUCACCAGUAGUCCUGCUGUUAGCAGCACGUCCCCAAGUACAAUACGCAGCACAUCCUCCAGUACGAUACGCAGCACAUCCUCCAGUACGAUGCUCAGCACAUCCUCCACCACCUAUACAACUACCACAGCCCUUAUCACCAGUCCAUCUACCAGUCUCAUGACAUCUACCAGUUACUCUACUCCCAUUCCAGAAACAGAUUAUGACUAUAUCACAGACUCUUGUGUGGCCUUGCUCAGCUUCGGCAUGUGGCGGGAAAAGCACUGCUAUGAAAGCCUGCCCUUCAUCUGUUAUGAUGGUAAGGAUCAUCUGUCUUCUUGCUUUUGUUGUUUUGGAUGUAGUUUUGGUUUUGUAGUUCUUGCUCAGGAAACAGUUGACUUCUGAUCUGACCCAUCUUCAGAUUCCAGCCAAUUCUGCUAGAUCUGUCCUUGUGUCAGUGACCUGUGUAACCAGUUUAGAAAUGAUAUAGCAUUAGUGGACUGUUUAAACAGUAGUGGAGUUUAACUCUAACAGUGUAUCAGUGUUCUCUUACAACACACUAUAAAACACUGUAAAACUGUACACUAAAAUUAUAUAAUCAUGUUAACAUAAGUAAAAAAAAUUAUCCUCCCUAAAUGAUUUAAGUAGUUUCAUUAAAAU
rnacentral:lncRNA from 1 species